CCACGAUUAGGUCUUCUUCAAUUGUUCCAGGAGGAUUAAUUAGUCACCACCACGAGUAUGAGGACCAAAUCAAGAGGCAAUAUGGCAGAGAAAGAGAGAGGGAGGGAGGCCCUCGCCUACUGAUGAGGUGAGCACAGAGGGGCCUGUGGAUUACACAGAUGGCGUGUCACUCAAGAGCUCUUCUGAGGAACGCCAACGUAGGUUGGACUAGGGUGCAGCUUGGGAAUUGAAGGUUUUAGAAGUUUCCUUAGUGGUUCCAAUGUUCAGCCAAGGCUG
rnacentral:lncRNA from 1 species